CAAAAAAGGUAGAAUUUACAUAAAUGAUAUAAAAUAAAUUAUAUUUUGUAAAUGGUCAUUUCAACUUAAAACAUUUCAGUAUAACUUGAUAAAAUAACUACAUUUAUAUAAAUGCACAGAUCAUUGCAUAUUUUCGGUUUGACUUUGUUUAUUGUAGUCUUUCUACCUUCACUUAAUUCCAUAGUAUAAUUCAACAAAUAUCUGAACAAUACGUUUUUAUUCAAACAUAGGCAUAUGAAUCUACAUUAGUGAUGUCUCGAACGGUUCGCCGCAGACUCCAGUCAGCAGACACAUUCCAGCCAAUCAGCAGCAGACCCUUCCUCCCAGACCUUCCCACCUCCUGGACAGCUCACUAAGAAUGCAGCUUCAAAAUGGAUGUUGUCCAG